ensembl:lncRNA
CAGGAGGAUACCUCUCAUCGCUGACCUCCAUCCAGACACGGAGCCAUUGACCACCACUCUCUGGAUUAGAUCCUGCAGCCAGGUCAUUGUCCAUCAAACAGUCUACCCUUCAAAUCGAUCUCUUUCCAAUUUGGAGGGAAGGAUGUUGUGGGCUGCUGUGUCAAAGGCCUUACUGAAGUCCAGACAGAUGACAUCAGUGGCUCUUCCCUUGUCCAUUGCUGCAGUGAUGCCAUUGUGGAAGGCUGCUAGGUAGGUCAAACAGGAUUUGCCCCUGGUGAAGCCAUGCUGGUUCUCCCAUAUCACCUCCCUGUCUUCUGUGUGCCUUAGCAUCACUUCCAGGAGGAUCUGCUCCACAAUCUUUCCCAGUACAGAGGUGAAACUGACAGGUUGGUAAUUUCCAGGGUUAUCCUUUUUACCCUUCUUAAAAAUGGAUGUGAUGUUGCCUUAUUUCUAGUUACCAAGGAUGAUCCCUUUUUGAAAAUCCCGAUGAUCCCUUGUUUUUUUUUUUUUUUUUUUUUUUGUGUGGCCAUCCUCUGUAUGUGCUCCAACAGGUCCAUGUCUCUUCUGCACUGAGGACUCUACAUCUGGAUGCAGUACUCCAGGUGAGGCCUCUUCAGUACAGAGCAGAGGGGCAGGAUCACUUCCCUUCACUGCUGACCACUCUUCUUUUGAUGCGUCCCAGGAUAUGGUUGGUUUUCUGGGCUGGGAGGGCACACUGCUGGCUCAUGUCCAGCUUGCCAUCUACCAGUACCUCCAGGUCUUUUGGGACAUGCUUAUGCUCAGUCCUUUCAUCCCCCAGCAUGUAUUGGUAGUGGGGGGUCCUCUUGUCCCAUGUGCAAGACCCUGCACCUGGAUUUGUUGAACCUGAUGAGGUUUCAAAUCCGUUCACCUGUGCCUGCUGCUCGAGCCUGUUCAGGUCCCUCUGGUUGGUGUCCUGUCCCUUUGGUGUGUCACUGCACCCCACAGCUUGGUGUCGUCAGCAAAUUUUCUGAGGGCGCACUCGACCCCGCUGAUGAUGUCGCUGAUGAAGAUAUUGAAGAGUGUCAGCCUCAGCAUAGACCCCUGUGGGACAACACUCAUCACCAAUCGCCAUCUAGACAUGGAGCCAUUGAUCGCUGCUCUCUGGACUCAGUCCUGCAGCCGAUCUUUGUCCAUUCAACAGUCCACCCACCGAAUCCGUAUCUUUCCCAGCUUCCCAAAACAGCUUCCUAAAACUCAAUCCAAUCAAAAUUCUGUGCUGUCUAGUAACAAGGACUUCCAUCAGACUGAGAGCUCAGGCUUUACAGGCCAGUGGUGGAGCCAAGAGGGAGGCCUCUGGAUUUUCAGAAAGGACCGAGAAGGCUGAGAAUCAGUUUUGAGUUGUGCUGUGGAACAGAAUGUACAGCUGGAUCUAGAACAGUUGCCAAAGAGGUGUCCAUGGGCAAACGGUGCUGGAUUUCCCAGGUAAUGGUGAUGCUGAGAAGCAUGCCUCAUGAUGACUUACACAUCCCUCAUGCUUCAUAUUAAUUCUUCCUUUGGGUCAAAAGUAGACUGAAAUUCUUGAAACCUUGCCUGGGAAUCCUGCUGUUGCUAAAAUGGUUCAGCCGUGGUGCCUGUGGUCAGAAUACCUUGUGGCAGACCCUGGCACUGGCUGUGAAUGAAAGAACUGAUGACAAAUUGCUCAAUAUCGAAAGCGAGCCAGUGCAUAUUUACAAGCCUUGGGUGAGCCAGAUGGAAUCUAAGAGGGGGAGGCCAGGUAGGGAAGCUGUUACUAUGAUGUUUCUUAGAAGACUUGCAAGGCUGUUUUGCAUUGCUCUGUUAAUUGUUCCAAGGCACCCUUGGCUUCACUGUGUGCAAUUCAUACCAUGUUUUUUCAUCACCUCAGAUGCUGGCUGAAAUAUGUAUAUACAUGUGUAUAUAUAAAUGUAUACACAUACACAUAUUUAAAAAAAAAAA